CCUACGGGUGGCUGCAGUGGGGAAUAUUGGACAAUGGGCGAAAGCCUGAUCCAGCCAUGCCGCGUGUGCGAAGAAGGCCUUCGGGUUGUAAAGCACUUUCAGUGGGGAAGAAAGCCUUGGGGCUAAUACCCUCGAGGAAGGACAUCACCCACAGAAGAAGCACCGGCUAACUCCGUGCCAGCAGCCGCGGUAAUACGGAGGGUGCGAGCGUUAAUCGGAAUUACUGGACGUAAAGCGCGCGUAGGCGGUCUGAUAAGCCGGUUGUGAAAGCCCCGGGCUCAACCUGGGAACGGCAUCCGGAACUGUCAGGCUAGAGUGCAGGAGAGGAAGGUAGAAUUCCCGGUGUAGCGGUGAAAUGCGUAGAGAUCGGGAGGAAUACCAGUGGCGAAGGCGGCCUUCUGGACUGACACUGACGCUGAGGUGCGAAAGCGUGGGUAGCAAACAGGAUUAGAUACCCUAGUAGUC
rnacentral:rRNA from 1 species